GAUGAACGCUGGCGGCGUGCCUAAUACAUGCAAGUCGAGCGAACGGACGAGAAGCUUGCUUCUCUGAUGUUAGCGGCGGACGGGUGAGUAACACGUGGAUAACCUACCUAUAAGACUGGGAUAACUUCGGGAAACCGGAGCUAAUACCGGAUAAUAUUUUGAACCGCAUGGUUCAAAAGUGAAAGACGGUCUUGCUGUCACUUAUAGAUGGAUCCGCGCUGCAUUAGCUAGUUGGUAAGGUAACGGCUUACCAAGGCGACGAUGCAUAGCCGACCUGAGAGGGUGAUCGGCCACACUGGAACUGAGACACGGUCCAGACUCCUACGGGAGGCAGCAGUAGGGAAUCUUCCGCAAUGGGCGAAAGCCUGACGGAGCAACGCCGCGUGAGUGAUGAAGGUCUUCGGAUCGUAAAACUCUGUUAUUAGGGAAGAACAUAUGUGUAAGUAACUGUGCACAUCUUGACGGUACCUAAUCAGAAAGCCACGGCUAACUACGUGCCAGCAGCCGCGGUAAUACGUAGGUGGCAAGCGUUAUCCGGAAUUAUUGGGCGUAAAGCGCGCGUAGGCGGUUUUUUAAGUCUGAUGUGAAAGCCCACGGCUCAACCGUGGAGGGUCAUUGGAAACUGGAAAACUUGAGUGCAGAAGAGGAAAGUGGAAUUCCAUGUGUAGCGGUGAAAUGCGCAGAGAUAUGGAGGAACACCAGUGGCGAAGGCGACUUUCUGGUCUGUAACUGACGCUGAUGUGCGAAAGCGUGGGGAUCAAACAGGAUUAGAUACCCUGGUAGUCCACGCCGUAAACGAUGAGUGCUAAGUGUUAGGGGGUUUCCGCCCCUUAGUGCUGCAGCUAACGCAUUAAGCACUCCGCCUGGGGAGUACGACCGCAAGGUUGAAACUCAAAGGAAUUGACGGGGACCCGCACAAGCGGUGGAGCAUGUGGUUUAAUUCGAAGCAACGCGAAGAACCUUACCAAAUCUUGACAUCCUUUGACAACUCUAGAGAUAGAGCCUUCCCCUUCGGGGGACAAAGUGACAGGUGGUGCAUGGUUGUCGUCAGCUCGUGUCGUGAGAUGUUGGGUUAAGUCCCGCAACGAGCGCAACCCUUAAGCUUAGUUGCCAUCAUUAAGUUGGGCACUCUAAGUUGACUGCCGGUGACAAACCGGAGGAAGGUGGGGAUGACGUCAAAUCAUCAUGCCCCUUAUGAUUUGGGCUACACACGUGCUACAAUGGACAAUACAAAGGGCAGCGAAACCGCGAGGUCAGGCAAAUCCCAUAAAGUUGUUCUCAGUUCGGAUUGUAGUCUGCAACUCGACUACAUGAAGCUGGAAUCGCUAGUAAUCGUAGAUCAGCAUGCUACGGUGAAUACGUUCCCGGGUCU
rnacentral:rRNA from 1 species